rnacentral:rRNA from 1 species
UACGGGAGGCAGCAGUGGGGAAUAUUGGACAAUGGGCGAAAGCCUGAUCCAGCCAUGCCGCGUGUGUGAAGAAGGUCUUCGGAUUGUAAAGCACUUUAAGUUGGGAGGAAGGGCAGUAAGCUAAUACCUUGCUGUUUUGACGUUACCGACAGAAUA